AGAAGAAAUCAUAGAUGACGACGAUGAUGACAUCACUCUUACAGUUGAAGCUUUUUGUCAUAAUGGGGAUGAGACAAUUGAAACUAUUGAAGCUGCUGAGGUACUCCUUAAUGUGGAUUCUCCUGGUCCUGUGCUGGAUGAAAAACGAAUAAGUAGUAAUAUAUUUAGUUCAUCUGAAGAUGACAUUGUGGUUGCCCCAGUCACCCAUGUAUCCGUCACAUUAGAUGGGAUUCCUGAAGUGCUGGAAACUCACCUGGUGCAAGAAGCAUAUGCAGACUCACCAGGAGCCUCAUCACCAGAACAGCCUAAAAGAAAGAAAGAAAUCAUCAACACCAAGGACUGUGGAGGACGGAGGUAGUAACUGUAUGCAGAAUGGUAGGCUGCUCCAACAGCAUGAUCAUCUCAACUACAGAAAACAGUGCUACCAAAGUAUGGUUCUAGGGAGAAAAAGUAAGCCCCCACGACCAGAUUCCAAGUAUAUCUUUGAAGAAGAAAAACAAAGAUGGGAAGGGAUUAACAUGUUUUUGUAUGAAACUCUCCACCACAUAAAAGACGAAACUUCUGACUGCUCUUAAGUUCAGUCUUCUGGCUCCAUGUUUGUGGACUUUGUCCUAAGUACAGCUCUCUGUGGAGCUGCCACUCAAGCACCGCAACUGUCUGUGACCAUCACUCUGCUGGCCUGGAACACCCCAUGUGGUUCUCCAACUGUGUCCGUGUCCAGGUCAGUGAGUUUGUGUUGUCCAUUGCACACACACCCAUCCUCUGCCCCCUCAGAAGUUCUCAAGCCAAGCAGAAAAAAGAUAUGGCACUGUCUCUGCGGCCUCCAGCUUCCAGUUUAUGCUGUGCAUGAGCUUCCCCUCAUCUUGCUGUGAAUGUAGAAAAUGUUAGGAAACCAUUGCAUUUGCAAAUUGUUCAACUUUUGGUCACUUUGGCAGAUGCAGGAGCUCCUUUUGGCUUCCCUGAUCCCCAGGGUGGACUAACUCUCGGAGGGUCUUUGGGAUUCCUUUGAGACUGGCUUCUGUACCUGUUCACCACAGUUUGGAGAAGGAAAACGUUUAUCUUAACCAGACUAUCUAUCUGUACAAUUAAGUUGUACAGCUGAUGUGUAAAAGACAAAGUC